rnacentral:rRNA from 1 species
AUACAGAGGGUGCGAGCGUUAAUCGGAAUUACUGGGCGUAAAGCGCGCGUAGGCGGCUUAUUAAGUCAGAUGUGAAAUCCCCGGGCUCAACCUGGGAACUGCAUCUGAUACUGGUAAGCUAGAGUUUUGGAGAGGGAAGUAGAAUUUCAGGUGUAGCGGUGAAAUGCAUAGAGAUCUGAAGGAAUACCAGUGGCGAAGGCGACUUCCUGGCCAAAAACUGACGCUGAGGUGCGAAAGCGUGGGUAGCAAACGGGAUUAGAUAACCUAGUAGUCC